rnacentral:rRNA from 1 species
CAUAAAGAAAAAUAAUAUGAAUAUGAUGUUAGUUCAGAUCUAACGCUAUACAGGGACAUUACACAUGCAAGUACGAAUAACGUGCGAACGGGUGAGUAGUAAUGGGAGUACAAUAGGUGCUCCUGACGGAUGUAGGUAAUAAUAAGAAAGAUAUUAGCCGUAGACCCGUAGUCGGGGGUGGAAGCCCGAACGAUCACAUAGACCAUAAAAGGUCUACAAGGGGAACCCUUGCAGCAGUGGGGAAUCAUUGGCAAUGACCUAACGGUUGACCAUGUUACCUGUAUGAACUAUAUCGAUAUAAAUUUUAUUAAUUAAUAUAUAUAUAUAUAUAAUUAUUUAUAUAUAGAUAAAUAUAAAGAAAUAAGAGUUAAGUAAACGAUAUGAAGAAGUUCAGCAUAUAUAAAGAAUAAUGAUCAAAUAUAUGUAAAGUCCUGACCAAGUAGGUGUGCCAGCAGUCGCGGUCACACAUCCAGGGCAAGCGUUGGUCAUCAUUGGCAUAAAGGAUCAGUAGGCGUAAUAAAUAGCAUGUAAGAAAUUAAUCAAUGAACUGCUACUUGAGAGAUUAAAUACUAUGACAGUAGUAGGACAGCAAGUAAGGUUAAUAAAGCAUGGACGCUGAGGGAUGAAAGCUACGGUAGCGAAGGGGAUUCGAUACCCCCCUAGUCGUAGCUGUGAACCAUGUCCAUUAGAUAAGCAAAGCUAAGGCGUAAAAUGGACCGCCAGGCUAGUACGCCCGCAAGGGUGGAAUGCAAGACAUUAGACGGUUGGGUACAAUAGCAGUGGAGCAUACUGUUUAAUUGGUCGAUACCCCUUAAACCCUACCUACUCUUGAAUAUUUUAUCUUUUAUUUAAAGAUUCUUUACAGGCGUUACAUUGUUGUCGUCAGUUCAUGCUCAGUGGUCUACUAUUAAGUUAGUAAAUGAACGUAACCCCUCACAUACCCCCCUCCCACAAAGUGGGCGGUCUGUUGUGAAUACCUUAUUGGGUAUCGGAAGCUAGGGAUAACGACUAAUCCGCAUGACCCUUAUGAGUAGGGCUACAGGUGUGCUACAAACAUGUAAACAAUUAAUAUAUUUUAAUAAUAUAUAUAUCUUAUGAAAUUACAUUAUCAUGAACUCUUCUUUUAAUUGGAUUAUAUCCUGCAAUGGAUAUAUCAAAGCGGAAUUGCUAGUAAUGGUGGACUAGAGUGCCACCGUGAAUAUACCAUACCCUUCGUACUAAUCACUCAUCAAUAGCACAGUAGUAUAAAAUUUAUCUACGUUAUUUUAUUUUAAUUUUAUUAUUAUUUAAUUUAUUAACGGAAAUUAAUUUUAUCCCAUUUGCUAUAAGUUGAAAUACAGUUCCGGUAGGGGAACCUGCCGGGGAUUCAUUAAACUACUUAUUCCUCCUUUACAUAAUAUUUUAUCUUAUUAUUUAUUAUUAUAUAUAUAUAUAAUAAUUAAGAUAAUAUA